rnacentral:misc_RNA from 1 species
GAUGAAGAACGCAGCGAAAUGCGAUACGUAAUGUGAAUUGCAGAAUUCAGUGAAUCAUCGAGUCUUUGAACGCACAUUGCGCCCCCUGGUAUUCCGGGGGGCAUGCCUGUCCGAGCGUCAUUGCUGCCCUCAAGCACGGCUUGUGUGUUGGGCCUCCGUCCUCCUCCCGGGGGACGGGCCCGAAAGGCAGCGGCGGCACCGCGUCCGGUCAUCGAGCGUAUGGGGCUUCGUCACCCGCUCUUGUAGGCCCGGCCGGCGCUUGCCGACACAUCAAUCUUUUUUCCAGGUUGACCUCGGAUCAGGUAGGGAUACCCGCUGAACUUAAGCAUAUCAAUAAGCGGAGGA